GUUUCGCUUCUGUUUCCAAAAGACGCGUUCCUCGUGGAAUCAACUCAGCAAUGGAGCCACUUUGGCCCAAGCACAGGCAUCCCUUAUUACGGGAGGGCGUCUGCUUUGUCCCUCGAGAAAAACGUGGAAGGACAGCGAAAGAGCCCGGAACAGUUUCGAGACCAAAUCAAUGCCUUCAUUCGGCUUUCCCGGAAAAUGCGCCAUCAUGGCAUCAAGCAGCGUUAUCUCUUUCACUCAGCGUGCCAGCUGUGACCUGCGCUGCGAGGCGACUGCUGGCGGCUCCGUGAAAGCGCUGUGAGCACCGGCCUCCUUGAAGCGGUUCGCAACGACCGCCUUCUACGACGCGCCAUUCAGGCAUUGUGUCCACAGUGGCGAGGCGACGUAUCUCCAGCGGCGCUCGGACGAAAAGGAUGGCUUCCCCUCUUUAUCCCCUACCGAAAUUGUCGGCGGGAGCCUAGCACAAGCGAGGUGAUCUCCUCAAUACGACUUGUCAACACACGGGGCAAGCCACCGUCGUUCACGCUGAGAAUAUGAAACCAAGCGCUGC
rnacentral:lncRNA from 1 species